UAGUAGCUUAGUCGGUAGCGCUUGAUACUUUUAAUUUCAUGGUUGUGGGUUUGAGCCCCACACUGGGCAAAA